CUAUGGAUUUGCAAUGGCUAUGGAUUUGCAAUGGCUAUGGAUUUGCAAUGGCUAUGGAUUUGCAAUGGCUAUGGAUUUGCAAUGGCUAUGGAUUUACAAUGGCUAUGGAUUUACAAUGGCUAUGGAUUUACAAUGGAGGAAAACGAAGGGAAAAAACAGCAAAUGAAAGCAGUCACAUUUAAAGCAAUAAAUCAGAAAGGAAAGAAAAAACAAUGAAAAACAAAAAACCACAAGAUGAAACAGACAAACCAAAACAGAAAAGAAAACCCAAGAGCACAGAGCGCCCCAAAGCGCCACACAGAAGGAACAACACACGAAAUAGGAAUUAAAAAAGGGGAAAAAAAAAGAGAAAAGCAACAACAAAGACACAUAUUUGACGAAACAGCAAGAUAAGAAAUUUUCCAGAAACAGAACAAAAGAAAAGAACAAAUGAAAGAAAAACAAAAAUCUAAGCAUAAUACACAAAAAGCAAAAACAACACAAAAGCACAAAACACAAACACUCACAAAAAAGUAGUUUUCCUACUGCACAAGUGCAAAAACAGCAAAUCAAACCACCACAUUAAAGCAACAAAACCAAAGGCCCACAACAAACCAAAGGCCCACAACAAACCAAAGGCCCACAACAAACCAAAGGCCCACAGAGUGCCCCACAGAAAAGAUCAGUGAAAAAACACAUAAGAAAAAACACACAACAUAGAAAUUAAAAAUGAGAAAAAAUUAACAAAAAUUGCAGAACCAAACAGCAAAGAAAAAUACACAGAAAAUCCCAUCACAUUUAAAGCAACAAAACUGAAAAAAAAAAUAAUCGAAAAAAAAUCAACCAAAAAAACCCACAAAAAAAAAAUCCAAGCACAGAGCGCACCCCACAGAGCGCCCCACAGAAAAAAACAACAGAAAUAGACAAAUGAAAAAAACACACACAACACAGAAAUUAAAAUAGAGGAGAAAAACAAACAAACAGAAACAGAAAAAGAGAAAAUCAAAACCAAAAGACAAAAACAACCUCCAUAAGUACACAAAACGCACACAUAUGACAAGGAACAGAAACUGGAUCCGAUGUCAUGGCAAAGCAAAGCUGACAAGUGACUGUGGUGCAGGCCGAAAGCUUACCAUGUGUGCCUGGCAGGAGGAAAGGGCAGCUGCCGGGCACGGAUCAGCCAGCCAGCUGAGGAAAAGCCUCAAGGCCAUGGCAAGGAAAGAGGCAAGGGCACCCAGGAGGCGAGAAGCCAUCUGAGCCAUUCAGAAGGAAACCAAAAGAGAAGGCAAGGGAAGCAAAGAAAAGUCAUUCAGAAAAAAUCCACAGAAAAAUAAGAAAAAGAAAGAAAGCAAAGAAAAACCCAACACAAAUGGAAACCCAAAUAAAGAAAAAGCAAAGCAAAACAACAAAUGGAAUACAAAGAGAAAGCAAAAAGAAGUCAGCAAAGGAAAGAUAAAAAUGAAGGAUCAGGAGGGCUAAUAGCAGGUAAGUAAAGGCGAGGUAAGGGGAAGGUGACGAGCAUGGGGGCAAGGAAGGGGGCAAGGAAGGGAAAAAUGUGAAGGAUGAAAAAGAGAAUCACAAAGGAAUGCAAAGAGAACUAGCUUGAAUAGGGCAGGAAUGGAAAAGAAACAACAAAAGGAAAAAAAAACAGUGGAAGGAAAAUAGAAAGGAGCAGUAAAGAAAAACAAAAUGGAAAGGGGAAAAGAAAAGAAGCAAAACUAGAAGGCAUAGCAAAGCAAUGAAAUACCGAGGAAAAGAAAAAACAGAAUGCCGUAUCAUGGCAAAGCAAAGGACUCAAAGAAAUUCAACAAGAAAAAAACACCAUCCAAAAUUGUUCAAAGAAAACAAAUAAUGACCAUAAGGAUACAAGCAAAGCCACAGAAAGAAAAGCAAACAAGCAAAGAAGAAAGGAAACCAAAGCAAAGCGAGAAAGCCAUGAAGCCAUGCAAAAUGCAAAGCAAAGGUAUGAAAGGAAAACCAAAGAGCAAAGCAAAGCAACAGAAAAACAAUAAAAAGAAAUGAAAGAAAAGGGACUGAAAAGGAAAGGAAACUAACAAUAAGUCAUUCGAUAAGAAGAGAAAGGGGAAGGAAAAAAAGGAAGGCAAAUAAAUGAACUGGAAGGAAGAAAACCACAUUAAGGAAAUUAACAAUGGGAAGCAAAGCAAAACGAGCAGUACAGAAAUCUGAAUUAGAAUUAAAAGGCAGAGCAAAGCAAAGCAAGUAAGGGCAAGGCUAGAGGAAGGGGACAGGCAAGGGGACAAGGAUACGGGCAAGGAAAAGAAGGCAAAGAAGAAUGCAAUUACAAAACAAAUAGGAAACUGAAAGCAGAGCACAGAAAAACCACUGGAAAAGAGGAGAAAAUACAGAGAGACUUUUAGAACGAACAACAAUAAGCGAAAGGCGGCCCAAGGAAGAAAGGGAAAGCGAAAGGCGGCCGAAAGCACAGCAGGAACACACAGAGAACAGCACUGAGUUAAACAGUCAGAAAGAGAAAUGGAAGCAAAAGAUCAACAAAGUACAUCCAAGUUAAAAACCAACUGAAAAAGAGGAAACACGAAAGCAACGGGAAGAAGAGAGAAGAAGCAGAGUAGGAAAUAAAGCAAAGCAAAGCAAACCAGAAAGCAACGCAAAGCAAUGCGAAGCAGAGGUGAAAAGGAAGAACAGAAGAGCAAAGCAAAGCAAAGCAAGGGCAAAUAAAGAAAGCCUCAAUUCUGGCAGCUCGACCCACCUGGCGCUUCAUUUGUUGCUCUUCAUCGGCCCGACUGCUGGGCACACGACAUCUGCACGGCACACCUUUACAGCCACCUUCCUUAUGGUUCAGCACACAGCUCAGCAGCCCAAAGAGGUUUACCCCUCCGCUGCCAGCUGUUUUCUUCCCACUGCUGGAACCACCCCCAGAAGGCAUUUGCCACCAUCCGUGAGGCAGUGGAAAGAGAAAGCAUUGGCCACCCCUCCCGUUCAGCAACACCUAAGGCCAGCGGGACAGCCUUUCCCUCUGCAAAUGCCUUUCCUUCUCCUUUUCCUUCAGGGGCCUCUGCAACUCGUCCUGUGGGGCUCCACACGGCAGCUUUCCAUCUGCGCCGCUUCCCCACAACACCACACGCCCCACCUGUGAACAGGGCACGUUUCGUCACAUCCCACAUCCCGACCUCAAUCCCAACCCCCAUCCCGGCCCCACAGCCCACAUCCCACCCCAACAGACCACAUCCCGGCCCCACAUUCCACAUCCCAAUGCAAAUCCCAAUCCCACACCCCUCAUCCUAUAUCCCACAUCCUAACCACAAUCACAACCCAACAUCC
ensembl:lncRNA